rnacentral:ncRNA from 1 species
UGGGUAGCUAUGUGCGGACGGGAUAAGUGCUGAAAGCAUCUAAGCAUGAAGCCCCCCUCAAGAUGAGAUUUCCCAUAGCGUCAAGCUAGUAAGAUCCCUGAAAGAUGAUCAGGUUGAUAGGUCAGAGGUGGAAGCGCGGUGACGUGUGGAGCUGACUGAUACUAAUCGAUCGAGGACUUAACCUA